ACGUUUCUCCAUUGUCCGUCCAGAUGUGAUCAACAACACCCCUGCCACCAAACCAGUUGGCUUGAAACCGAUCAGAACACAGACCGCCAAAAAGGUUCUCAUACGCCGUUAUUGCCCACGCAUGCCGUCUUCUCCGGUGCGUGACGACCACAUGCCGCCUUCCACCCUCAGUUUGUCGUCGUUUUUUCCCAGAUUGCAGAUCAAUCCAUCCUUUUCCCAUUGGUGUGGUCAAAAUACACAUCAAAAAUGUUUAUUUUUGGGUAUCUUUUUGGACAUCCAACGUUCGUUUUUUGUUUGACAACGGGACAGUUUGUUGGUUGUUUUUUAUUCUCUAUGGAGCUUUCUUCCUUUAAAGGGCAGAAGUUGGCGAGAUUAUUUCUGGUGUCAUUCAUGUGAGAAUGAGUUAUAAAAGUAUCUACUCUUUAUCUUUUAGUGUAGGAUCAUUACAUUUCGUACGAGUGCAAGGAAUCUUGCAACGAUACUAAACUCUAAUGACAUCAAAAUUCUCUAUAUAAAAUGUGAGCAGAAAUACAAAUACACAUGUAAUAAGUGAAACUUCUUUGUAAUAAUCAUUUGCAAAAAGAGAAAAAGUUCAUAAAACAA
rnacentral:lncRNA from 1 species